rnacentral:rRNA from 1 species
GAGUUUGAUCAUGGCUCAGGAUGAACGCUAGCGGCAGGCCUAACACAUGCAAGUCGAGGGGCAGCGGGGUGUAGCAAUACACUGCCGGCGACCGGCGCACGGGUGCGUAACGCGUAUACAAUUUGCCUUAUACAGGAGAUAGCCCGGAGAAAUUCGGAUUAAUAUCCCAUAAUAAUUUUGUUCCGCAUGGAAUGAUUUUUAAAGCUACGGCGGUAUAAGAUGAGUAUGCGUCCUAUUAGCUAGUUGGUGAGGUAACGGCUCACCAAGGCUACGAUAGGUAGGGGGCCUGAGAGGGUUAUCCCCCACACUGGUACUGAGACACGGACCAGACUCCUACGGGAGGCAGCAGUGAGGAAUAUUGGUCAAUGGAGGCAACUCUGAACCAGCCAUGCCGCGUGAAGGAUGAAUGCCCCUAUGGGUUGUAAACUUCUUUUAUUUGGGAAGAAACCUUUCUACGUGUAGAGAGCUGACGGUACC